rnacentral:lncRNA from 1 species
AUUUGACGCAAUGUUAGGAUUUUAAAUUUUAAAACACCAAUUUAACAACUUGUUCAAUUUUGACACUUUUUUCAUUUCCGGCAAAUUAAAAUCUGACGUGGCGCCUACGUGUCUCGCCGCCACACUCCUCGCCGUUUGCCAGACAAAACACGAAACGACGUCAUUUUUUUUAAAAUAAAACGACAUCGUUUUAUACUUUUCAUUAUGUAACCCCAA